ensembl:snRNA U1 U1 spliceosomal RNA
GUAUUUACCUGUCAGGGAAGAUACCACGAUCAUGAAGGUGGUCUUUCCAGGGUGAGGCUCACUCACUGCACUCCGGACGAGCGGACCCCUGUGAUUUCCCCAAAUGUGGGAAACUCGACUGCAAAAUUUGUGGUAGUGGGGGACUGAAAAAAAAGUUAAUUGACACACCCAUC